GCCGGGCGUUGGUGGCGCACGCCUUUAAUCCCAGCACUCGGGAGGCAGAGGCUGGUGGAUCUCUAUGAGUUCGAGGCCAGGCUGGACUGACAGCCUCCAAAACAAUACAGAGAAACCCUGUCUUGUAAAAACCAAAAAGAAAAAAAAAAAGAAAAGAAAAGAAACUUCUAAUUUUUGAGCAUGUGGAUGUGUUGUCAAUUUUUUUGUUUGUUUUUUUGUUUUUACGAGACAGGGUUUCUGUGUAUUGUUUUGGAGGCUGUCGGUCCAGCCCGGCCUCGAACUCACAGAGAUCCGUCUGCCUCUG
rnacentral:SRP_RNA from 1 species